rnacentral:rRNA from 1 species
UACGUAGGGUGCGAGCGUUUAAUCGGAAUUACUGGGCGUAAAGCGUGCGUAGACGGUUACGUAAGUCGGAUGUGAAAGCCCCGGGCUCAACCUGGGAAUUGCAUUCGAGACUGCGUAGCUAGGGUGCGGAAGAGGGAAGCGGAAUUUCCGGUGUAGCGGUGAAAUGCGCAGAUAUCAGGAGGAACACCGGUGGCGAAGGCGGGUCUCUGGGCCGAUACUGACGCUGAGGAGCGAAAGCGUGGGGAGCGAACAGG